GUUGGAGUGCUGCGUGCUAUACAUGCAAGUCGUACGCUAGCCGCUGAAUUGAUCCUUCGGGUGAAGUGAGGCAAUGACUAGAGUGGCGAACUGGUGAGUAACACGUAAGAAACCUGCCCUUUAGUGGGGGAUAACAUUUGGAAACAGAUGCUAAUACCGCGUAACAACAAAUCACACAUGUGAUCUGUUUGAAAGGUCCUUUUGGAUCGCUAGAGGAUGGUCUUGCGGCGUAUUAGCUUGUUGGUAGGGUAGAAGCCUACCAAGGCAAUGAUGCGUAGCCGAGUUGAGAGACUGGCCGGCCACAUUGGGACUGAGACACUGCCCAAACUCCUACGGGAGGCUGCAGUAGGGAAUUUUCCGCAAUGCACGAAAGUGUGACGGAGCGACGCCGCGUGUGUGAUGAAGGCUUUCGGGUCGUAAAGCACUGUUGUAAGGGAAGAAUAACUGAAUUCAGAGAAAGUUUUCAGCUUGACGGUACCUUACCAGAAAGGGAUGGCUAAAUACGUGCCAGCAGCCGCGGUAAUACGUAUGUCCCGAGCGUUAUCCGGAUUUAUUGGGCGUAAAGCGAGCGCAGACGGUUUAUUAAGUCUGAUGUGAAAUCCCGAGGCCCAACCUCGGAACUGCAUUGGAAACUGAUUUACUUGAGUGCGAUAGAGGCAAGUGGAACUCCAUGUGUAGCGGUGAAAUGCGUAGAUAUGUGGAAGAACACCAGUGGCGAAAGCGGCUUGCUAGAUCGUAACUGACGUUGAGGCUCGAAAGUAUGGGUAGCAAACGGGAUUAGAUACCCCGGUAGUCCAUACCGUAAACGAUGGGGUGCUAGUUGUUAAGAGGUUUCCGCCUCCUAGUGACGUAGCAAACGCAUUAAGCACCCCGCCUGAGGAGUACGGCCGCAAGGCUAAAACUUAAAGGAAUUGACGGGGACCCGCACAAGCGGUGGAGCAUGUGGUUUAAUUCGAAAUAACGCGAAAACCUUACCAGUCUUGACAUACCCAUGAUCGCUUUGUAUGAAGCUUUUCUUCGAACAUUGAUACAGUGGUGCAUGGUCGUCUCACUCUGUUCCUGAAAUGU
rnacentral:rRNA from 1 species